UCUUAGUUAAUGCCUCAAGAUUUUGUGGAUGACUCGACUGGGGGUUUGUUUUGUUUGUGUAAGAUGCAGUUCACCAUUAAAUGAACCAGACACAGUAAAUGUA